UCCUAUCAUUCGCGUUUCUCUCUCUCACCUUCUCUUCGGCAAUCAUUUGAAACACUGAAAAAGGGUUUCUUGGGCAUCUCCGUGAUUUAUCACCACCACCACCACCACCACCACCACCACCGUCUCUCUCUUCUCUCUCUCUCUCUCCAUCCCCACUCUAUCUCUCUAUCUCUAUUGUGCAACCAAAAUUAACCCCAAAACGCUCUCACUCUAUAAAAACUCUGCUAACUCACUCACUCACUCACGAAACCCUAGUAGAACUUGCUUUCUUCAAUCGAAAAUGCAAGACAUGUUCGGUUCCGUCCGCCGAUCGCUGGUGUUUCGUUCGCCAGAUGGCGGCAGGACGAAGGCACUACCGUCGGAACCCUACUCGUCAAACAGGUUGUAGUUGGUCAUGCAAGGAAGUCCAUGAGCUAUAAGCGACGAAAGAUUGCGACUAAUGGCUUACAUAGUCCUGUCCAAGUUAAGACACCUACAAUUAUUCGAGCAGAGGAGGUACAGUUCACUGCAGGCAAUGGCUGAUGCUGCACACCCUGCAUUCAUUUUAGAGACAAGGAAAACAGCUCCAGGCUUACGUCUAGUGGACAAGUGGGUGGUACUAAUAGGUGGAGGGCCGAAUCACAUAAUGGGAUUAUUUGAUAUGGUGAUGAUAAAAGAUAAUCAUAAAUCAGUAGCUGGAGGUGUCAAAGAUGCUCUUAGAUCUGUGGGCCUGUAUUUAGAGAAAAAUAAUCUUCAUAUGGGGGUUGAGUGUGUGCGGAUUUGGUUCGUGGUGCCAAGGAUAAGAGGCUGGGGGUGAAGGGACCUGUCAAGAUGCCCACCAAGGUUCUUCACAUCACUACCAGGAAGUCCCCUUGUGGUGAAGGUACUGAGUUUUAGAAAUAUUUUGAUCUAUUGCUUGAUGUUAUUAUAGUGGUAGGUAGUUUUGAUUAAAAGAGCAUACAACUGCACUUGUAACAUUUUCCAUUGGAUUGUGAAUUUGUUUCUAUGUUUAACCGUUCAAUGAGGUUUCCAUGUAUUUAUGUCCUGACUGGUUGGUUUUUUUAGUAGUUUAUCCUAAUGUUUUUGUGCAUUGGUCAAAUGUGCUUGCUUAAUAUAUCAUAAUAAACUUUCAUGUGGUGCAAACCUUUUGCACUAUGACUUGUGGAAGGACUCGUGCAAUGUAUUACCUGUUUAGUCUAAUCUGGUUUUAAAAUUACUCAACUGCACCCAAAUAGCAACUCUUCAAGUCUUGCUAGUAGAUUAUGUUGACAGCACAUUACCUUUAUGACUGUUGUGUUCAUGUGACACAAUUUGAACGUCUUACUGAAGUAACAAUGCCCAAAUGCUUCCCUAGUCCAUGUAAGAAUUGGUUUUUAAUGUUGGUUAAUUAAUUUGAAUCUUUUAAAUGGAGUCAUAGAACUUUUUACAAGAUUGUAUGAAGUUUCUUUGUUUGACAUGGCAUAUUUUUCAGUGGUGCUUUCUACCUGUUGGCUGCUUUCCAAUAGCGAUUAUUAUGUGUGCGAAUUUUAAAAUUUGAAAAAUACGUUCAAACUACUAGGGGCUGCUGUGGAUAGUUCAUUGUAGGAUGUAAUUAAAGUUUCUUUGGAUAGUUCAUGUUAUACCAAUAGUUCAAUUGGCAGAGGAACUUCUUAUUGGUGACAAUCCGUUGCGUGAAAUUGAUGGAGUUCCAAUUGGGCCCAAAUAUUGCAAAAUCUGUCUUAAAGGUGAAAAAGCCGAAUGCUCCUUUGGAAACACCAUCCCGAGGUCUAAGAACAGUUGGAGAAUCUGUUGGAAGAUACAUUGUGUGGCGCUUCAUUCAUAUGCUAUCUUUUUUAGUACAUGAUGAUAUAUUCGCAUAUUGAUAUUGGAGCUUACUGUUGAUACUAAAACAAGCUAUAACAUAUAUGUUCUUUUAUUUGUAUUGUCGAUACUUUUGUUUUGUUUUAGAUACAAAUUCAAGUUCUUAAAUUAUUAAAAAUUAUUAGUAUUAGUGGAGGAUGUUUUAUAUAUUUUUGUAAAGAAUGUUUGGUUGACACUGUAUUGUUAUAGGGUACAUAUAUAUUAUUACUUGUA